rnacentral:rRNA from 1 species
CAAAAGCAUCAUUAUGGUGUAAUAAAUUAUAGCCUUAUUUUAUUAUAAAAAUAAUAAUAAAUAAAAUAAUAAAAACAAUUCUACAAUAUUUGACAAAGUGAUAGAGUAAUUAAAAAGUUAAGACUAAUUAAAUGCCAGCAGUCGCGGUUAUAUUUAAUUAAAAAUAUUAUAAUAACUUCUAAUAAAAUUAUAUUAUCAAUUGAGUAAAAUCAACAACAAUAACAUAAUAUUAUUAAUUAGAGGGUAUAAAGUUUAGUAAUAAAAUAAGAUUAGAUACCUUAGUAUUCUAAAUGAUAAUAAGUAGUAAAUUUUAACAAUUGAAACUUAAAUUUAAUGGCGGCUUUAUAAAUGUAAGAGGAACUUGUUAAAUAAUAGUCAACACCCUAAUAAUUUAUGUUUAAGUUCGUAUAUCGCCGUGAAAUUAUACAUAAAGUUCCAUUAAUUACCUAAUGAAUUUACAUUCAGGUCAAUAUGCGGCAUAUAAUAUAAAUAUUAAUUAGUUACACUGUCCAAUUAAAAUAGUAAAAUUAUAUAUUAUAUAAUUUUACCUCCGGAUUUUAGAGUAAAUUAUCAAUAUUGAGGAUAAUUGAAUUAAUUUUGUAAAGUGCACAUAUCGCCCGUCAUUUCCAAUUAUUUAAAGUUGGAAGAAGUCGUAACAAAGUGGACCCAAGUGAACUUGGGUC